CUACCGAUACUAAUAGCUCGAUUGAUUUACUUUG
rnacentral:rRNA from 1 species